ACGAUGGAUCACCAGUGAGCGGCGGACGGGUGAGUAACACUGGGCAACCUGCCCUGGAGCGGGGGAUAACAUUUGGAAACAGAUGCUAAUACCGCAUAACAAUCAAAACCGCAUGGUUUUGAUUUCAAAGAUGGUUUCGGCUAUCACUCCAGGAUGGGGCCCGCGGGUGCAUUAGCUAGUUGGUAAGGUAACGGCUUACCAAGGCAAUGAUGCAUAGCCGAGUUGAGAGACUGAACGGCCACAUUGGGACUGAGACACGGCCCAAACUCC
rnacentral:rRNA from 1 species